rnacentral:sRNA from 2 species
ACAUUUAAAAAGCUUAAUUUCCGGUUGGUAUACUGGAAAGCGGGGGAACCACUUAUUGGGGCGAAUCAGUGGCACAUAGCUUACUGUAGGGAACCAUCUUCCCGAGCCCGUCAGCUAACCUCGUCAGCUUAGAUGGGUCAAAUG